CCCUCUGCGCACGAGGCCUCCACUGCGGCUGCGCGGCUCGUUGGCGCGCACGUGAGGUGUGGGCCGCGCUUGCGUAGACUCGGCGAGCGCUGGGACUGCGUGGUGUCUGACGUCCG
rnacentral:sRNA from 1 species